rnacentral:rRNA from 1 species
AUUGAACGCUGGCGGCAGGCCUAACACAUGCAAGUCGAACGGUAACAGGAAGCAGCUUGCUGCUUUGCUGACGAGAGGCGGACGGGUGAGUAAUGUAUGGGAAACUGCCCGAUGGAGGGGGAGAACUACUGGAAACGGUAGCGAAUACCGCAUAACGUCGCAAGACCAAAGAGGGGGACCUUAGGGCCUCUUGCCAGCGGAUGUGACCAGAUGGGAUUAGCUAGUAGGUGGGGUAACGGCUCACCUAGGCGACGAUCCCUAGCUGGUCUGAGAGGAUGACCAGCCACACUGGAACUGAGACACGGUCCAGACUCCUACGGGAGGCAGCAGUGGGGAAUAUUGCACAAUGGGCGCAAGCCUGAUGCAGCCAUGCCGCGUGUAUGAAGAAGGCCUUCGGGUUGUAAAGUACUUUUAGCGGGGAGGAAGGGAGUAAAGUUAAUACCUUGGCUCAUUGACGUUACCCGCAGAAGAAGCACCGGCUAACUCCGUG